UUUGCUUAUUUGAGUGCGCCGAGUCCAUUUCUACAUCCAUUUCGCGCAGAAACGACUCUGACUUAGUCCGACACUCUCCAGAAGUGUCAACCAGUUACUAACACUGAAGCCAAUCCUAUCCAAAGCUUAGAAAUACUACAAAAUUAUAAAUAGAUUAUUAUUUAAAUAUUUAUUAAUUUAAUAACUUAAAUAAUUAAUUAGUCAAUUAUUAAAAAAAUUUAAUUGCAUUAAUUAAUUAUAAUUUAUAAUUAUUUAUAACUU
rnacentral:lncRNA from 1 species